rnacentral:rRNA from 1 species
UACGUAGGGUGCAAGCGUUGUCCGGAAUUAUUGGGCGUAAAGAGCUCGUAGGCGGUUUGUCGCGUCUGCUGUGAAAAACCCGAGGCUCAACCUCGGGCCUGCAGUGGGUACGGGCAGACUAGAGUGCGGUAGGGGGAGAUUGGAAUUCCUGGUGUAGCGGUGGAAUGCGCAGAUAUCUGGAGGAACACCCGUGGCGAAGGCGGCUCUCUGGGGACGGUACUGACGCUGAGACGCGGAAAAGCGUGGGGGAGCA